AUGCAAGAGCUUGCUAUGGCUAGUGAUGCAUGCCAACCUCUGCGAGGUACACCCCCGCAAGAUCCGUGUUCGGCGUCGCCUGCGUUCCAUGUCGCUACCGUCCUGGAGGAGCUCCAACGUCCAUGGCUGCUGCCUCCUCGAGCUCAACAGCAACAUUUCUUGCAACAUGAUUUUUGUUGCAGGAAUACAGGAGAAGAGGUCCUUGAUGCUGUAAUUUUUGAAACAAGGAAUACAACAAAGGAAACAAGGAUUACAUGCCCCCGCCCGCCGGCGGCAGCUGUUUUUUUGUGGUGGUUGGGGGCGGCGCAGCGUUGGGCGCAGCUCUGUCGAGGACGGUGGACAUGGAAGUCUGUUUCUGAAAAGAGCCGUUGUUGUGAGAAUUAA
rnacentral:rRNA from 1 species